UGAGAUUUAUCCUGGCUCAGGAUAACGCUGGCGGCGUGCUUAACACAUGCAAGUCGAACGCUGAAGCCCCAGCUUGCUGGGGUGGAUGAGUGGCGAACGGGUGAGUAACACGUGAGUAACCUUCCCUUGACUCUGGGAUAAGCCUGGGAAACCGGGUCUAAUACCGGAUGCGACCGUCCACCGCAUGGUGGUCGGUGGAAAGAUUUAUCGGUCUUGGAUGGACUCGCGGCCUAUCAGCUGGUUGGUGGGGUAAUGGCCCACCAAGGCGACGACGGGUAGCCGGCCUGAGAGGGUGACCGGCCACACUGGGACUGAGACACGGCCCAGACUCCUACGGGAGGCAGCAGUGGGGAAUAUUGCACAAUGGGCGCAAGCCUGAUGCAGCGACGCCGCGUGAGGGAUGACGGCCUUCGGGUUGUAACUCUU
rnacentral:rRNA from 1 species